ACUCCUGCGGGAGGCAGCAGUGGGGAAUAUUGGACAAUGGGCGCAAGCCUGAUCCAGCCAUGCCGCGUGAGUGAUGAAGGCCCUAGGGUUGUAAAGCUCUUUCACCGGUGAAGAUAAUGACGGUAACCGGAGAAGAAGCCCCAGCUAACUUCGUGCCAGCAGCCGCGGUAAUACGAAGGGGGCUAGCGUUGUUCGGAUUUACUGGGCGUAAAGCGCACGUAGGCGGACUAUUAAGUCAGGGGUGAAAUCCCGGGGCUCAACCCCGGAACUGCCUUUGAUACUGGUAGUCUUGAGUUCGAGAGAGGUGAAUGGAAUUCCGAGUGUAGAGGUGAAAUUCGUAGAUAUUCGGAGGAACACCAGUGGCGAAGGCGGCUCACUGGCUCGAUACUGACGCUGAGGUGCGAAAGCGUGGGGAGCAAACAGGAUUAGAUACCCGAGUAGUCCCAU
rnacentral:rRNA from 1 species